rnacentral:lncRNA from 1 species
AGUGAUUGAUUAAAACUGUAAAAAUUAGUUUGACAAAUCAGCAAAUUACCUAACAAGAGUUAAAGAUCUGGGGUAGGCGUUUUACUCAAAGGCCUGGCUAGCUUUUCAAAAUGAACUGUAACAUAUACCUUUGCUCAACUAAAGAACCUGUCAGGGGUUGGGGGAGGACCUUUUUAUUAUUCUAUGAGUAAGCGCUUAUAUUAUUAUUCAAAGUAGGUAGUGAAGGUAAGAAGGAUCUAAAGUGGCACAGAGAAGACACAAUGUAUAUACAAGCUACCCCAAACUCCAAAUUCAGCCACUGGAAUUUAACAUCCAUGGCCCUAAGAUCUAGGAUUUCAUCCUAACACAACCUCAGGUUGAAGCUGGGAGGCAGCCACAUAGGGCCUAA